GGUCAAUAGCCUAACGGCUGAACCAGCAACUUGGAGGAAUGUAUAGCGAAAGCUGGUUGUAUUAACUUAUAGUUAGUGCAGCAUCGACUAUGUCGAAUAAAGUUCUAGGUAGAGUUAUGAUAAUGACAUUUUCUAUCUAUGUGUCUCGACCAAAUCACGUGCCAGCAGUCGCGGUAAUACGUGGGAGACUAGUGUUAUUCAUCUUUAAUUGGUUUAAAGGGUACCUAGACGGUUCGUCAAGCCCCUAAAGGGUACUAAUGGACUAGAGUUUUAUGAGAGGGGGAGGUGAACGUGAGAGUGGAGAGAUGAAAUACUGUCAUACCUUAGAAGUAACAGGCAACAGCGAAAGCAACCUUUUAUGUAAAAACUGACGUUGAAGGACGAAGGCUUAGUAAAACGAACAGGAUUAGAUACCCCAGUAGUAUUUGCAGACAAUGAUGAAUGUCAUAGAUUGAAAUUAAGUAUUCUUUUUUUUAUAAAAAUAUUGUUUUAUCUAUAAAUGAAAGUGUAAGCAUUCCACCUCAAGAGUAAUGUGGCAACGCAGAAACUGAAAUCAUUAGACCGUUUCUGAAACCAGUAGUGAAGUAUGUUAUUUAAUUUGUUGGCCCGCAAAACACCUUACCACAACUUGAAUAAUUCGAUAAUAUCGAAAUACAAGCGUUGCACGGCUGUCUUCAGUUAAUGUCGUGAGAUCUUGGUUAGUUCCAUAAAAUUAACGUAAACCCUUACUUUAUUUUUGUUAUAGAGUAGUUCACCGCUAUAUUGGAUAUGAUAAAAGGGACUAAGACAAGUCAAUAUGGCCUUAAUGUUGUGGGCUAU
rnacentral:rRNA from 1 species